GAUGAACGCUGGCGGCGUGCCUAAUACAUGCAAGUCGAGCGAACGGACGAGAAGCUUGCUUCUCUGAUGUUAGCGGCGGACGGGUGAGUAACACGUGGAUAACCUACCUAUAAGACUGGGAUAACUUCGGGAAACCGGAGCUAAUACCGGAUAAUAUUUUGAACCGCAUGGUUCAAAAGUGAAAGACGGUCUUGCUGUCACUUAUAGAUGGAUCCGCGCUGCAUUAGCUAGUUGGUAAGGUAACGGCUUACCAAGGCAACGAUGCAUAGCCGACCUGAGAGGGUGAUCGGCCACACGGGAACGUAGACACGGUCCAUACUCCUACGGGAGGCAGCAGUAGGGAAUCUGCCGCAAUGGGCGAAAGCCUUACGGAGCAACGCCGCGUGAGUGAUGAAGGUCUUCGGAUCGUAAAACUCUGUUAUUAGUGAAGAACAUAUUUGUAAGUAACUGUGCACAUCUUGACGGUACCUAAUCAGAAAGCCACGGCUAACUACGUG
rnacentral:rRNA from 1 species